CAGUGGCGAACGGGUGAGUAACACGUGGGCAAUCUGCCCUGCACUCUGGGACAAGCCCUGGAAACGGGGUCUAAUACCGGAUAUUACCUUCCCCUGCAUGGGGGUUGGUGGAAAGCUCCGGCGGUGCAGGAUGAGCCCGCGGCCUAUCAGCUUGUUGGUGGGGUAAUGGCCUACCAAGGCGACGACGGGUAGCCGGCCUGAGAGGGCGACCGGCCACACUGGGACUGAGACACGGCCCAGACUCCUACGGGAGGCAGCAGUGGGGAAUAUUGCACAAUGGGCGAAAGCCUGAUGCAGCGACGCCGCGUGAGGGAUGACGGCCUUCGGGUUGUAAACCUCUUUCAGCAGGGAAGAAGCGAAAGUGACGGUACCUGCAGAAGAAGCACCGGCUAACUACGUGCCAGCAGCCGCGGUAAUACGUAGGGUGCGAGCGUUGUCCGGAAUUAUUGGGCGUAAAGAGCUCGUAGGCGGCUUGUCACGUCGGGUGUGAAAGCCCGGGGCUUAACCCCGGGUCUGCAUUCGAUACGGGCUAGCUAGAGUGUGGUAGGGGAGAUCGGAAUUC
rnacentral:rRNA from 1 species